CAGGCGGUUUGUUAAGUCAGAUGUGAAAUCCCCGGGCUCAACCUGGGAACUGCAUCUGAUACUGGCAAGCUUGAGUCUCGUAGAGGGGGGUAGAAUUCCAGGUGUAGCGGUGAAAUGCGUAGAGAUCUGGAGGAAUACCGGUGGCGAAGGCGGCCCCCUGGACGAAGACUGACGCUCAGGUGCGAAAGCGUGGGGAGCAAACAGGAUUAGAUACCCUGGUAGUCCACGCCGUAAACGAUGUCGACUUGGAGGUUGUGCCCUUGAGGCGUGGCUUCCGGAGCUAACGCGUUAAGUCGACCGCCUGGGGAGUACGGCCGCAAGGUUAAAACUCAAAUGAAUUGACGGGGGCCCGCACAAGCGGUGGAGCAUGUGGUUUAAUUCGAUGCAACGCGAAGAACCUUACCUGGUCUUGACAUCCACGGAAGUUUUCAGAGAUGAGAAUGUGCCUUCGGGAACCGUGGGACAGGUGCUGCAUGGC
rnacentral:rRNA from 1 species